rnacentral:lncRNA from 1 species
GCCUUGAUAAAGUGUGUGUCCUCCUAGCACAACAUAAUGGCUUCACAGAACCCCUACACACUGUGGUUAAUUAGGAGUGCAUUAGGAUUUCAGUGUUUAAGGGAUGAGAAGAAAAAAGAUAAAAUACCUUUUUUAAUGGUUGUAGAAUGGUUCUAAGAAAAGCCUUCCACAAAGUGAAGUUAUCUGGAGCACAGAGCCCUUCUGCACCAUUAGGAAUUGUGUGUUUACACUGAUUCCCUGCAGCACCACUUGAACUCUUCAACUCCUCCUCUUCCAAGGAUGAAAUCCUGUGGCAUGGAAACUCCAGUGCGAUGCGCCAUCAGCAGCAGAUGGAUUGAGGGAACAUUCUGCUUCAUCUUUAUUGCUAGUUCCUGGAUAUUUGGGACCAACAGCAGUGCCCCAAAAAGGUAAAACAGGAAUUAUUCCCUCCUUUUGAG